rnacentral:rRNA from 1 species
CCAGACUCCUACGGGAGGCAGCAGUGGGGAAUAUUGGGCAAUGGGGGAAACCCUGACCCAGCGACGCCGCGUGAGGGAAGAAGGUGUUCGGAUUGUAAACCUCUGUCCUUGGUGACGAUAAUGACGGUAGCCAAGGAGGAAGCCACGGCUAACUACGUGCCAGCAGCCGCGGUAAUACGUAGGUGGCGAGCGUUGUCCGGAAUUACUGGGUGUAAAGGGAGCGUAGGCGGGAGAGCAAGUCGACUGUGAAAUCUAUGGGCUUAACUUGUAGACUGCAGUUGAAACUGGUUUUCUUGAGUGAAGUAGAGGUUGGCGGAAUUCCGAGUGUAGCGGUGAAAUGCGUAGAUAUUCGGAGGAACACCGGUGGCGAAGGCGGCCAACUGGGCUUUAACUGACGCUGAGGCUCGAAAGUGUGGGGAGCAAACAGGAUUAGAUACCCCGGUAUU